GGGCCCGUAGCUCAGCAAGGCUAGAGCGGCGGACUCUUAAUCCGCAGGUCGCGGGUUCAAUUCCCGUCGGGCCCGCCA
rnacentral:tRNA from 1 species